AUUUCACUCCGGUGUGGCCGCGCGCGGAUACUGCCCCGGUCCGUGACCCGCCGGGAGACUCUGUGGAUGACUAGAAAACUCUGAAUGGCUGGAGAUGUUCGAAUACUAUGAAGAUGAGGAUGGUAUAAGAAGACAGACGGACAAACAGAACUAGUCUUAUGGCACUAGAGAGACCAUACAUGUGAUCCUUGAUUCACUGAGUGGGGAGAUAACUGUUAUUCACUUUGGUUUUUGUUUGCUUUUGUUGACACAACUCAGGUGCCCAGAAACACUUGGAAGAAAGUUGUCUUUGUUAAAAAUUCA